GAUGAACGCUGGCGGCGUGCCUAAUACAUGCAAGUCGAGCGGAAAGACGAGGAGCUUGCUCCCCUGACGUUGGCGGCUGACGGGUGAGUGAGACGUGCAUCACCUUCUUCUAUGACGGGGAGAAUAACGGGAAGACGGAGAUAAUAACGCCUCAUACAACGAACCGCAGAGAUCAAUAGAUAUACACACCUUUCGCGUCUCUAAUAGCUGAAUCCGCGCCGCAUUAGCUAGUUGGUAAGGUAACGGCUUACCAAGGCGACGAUGCGUAGCCGACCUGAGAGGGUGAUCGGCCACACUGGAACUGAGACACGGUCCAGACUCCUACGGGAGGCAGCAGUAGGGAAUCUUCCGCAAUGGGCGAAAGCCUGACGGAGCAACGCCGCGUGAGUGAUGAAGGUCUUCGGAUCGUAAAACUCUGUUAUUAGGGAAGAACAAAUGUGUAAGUAACUAUGCACGUCUUGACGGUACCUAAUCAGAAAGCCACGGCUAACUACGUG
rnacentral:rRNA from 1 species